rnacentral:rRNA from 1 species
AAACCAACAGGGAUUGCCUCAGUAACGGCGAGUGAAGCGGCAAAAGCUCAAAUUUGAAAUCUAGCACUUUCAGUGUUCGAGUUGUAAUUUGAAGAAAGUCUCCUUGAAUAGUCCUUUAUCUAUGUUCCUUGGAACAGGACGUCAUAGAGGGUGAGAACCCCGUAUGAUUUUGGAUCCUAUUCUCUGUGGGAGUCUUUCGAAGAGUCGAGUUGUUUGGGAAUGCAGCUCUAAGUGGGUGGUAAAUUCCAUCUAAAGCUAAAUAUUGGCGAGAGACCGAUAGCGAACAAGUACAGUGAUGGAAAGAUGAAAAGAACUCUGAAGAGAGAGUGAAAAAGUACGUGAAAUUGCUGAAAGGGAAGGGCUUGAGGUCAGACUUGGUGUUUAAUGAUUAUCUUCUUUUCUUAAGUUGUGCACUCGUUUUUCACUGGGCCAAUAUCAGUUUUUGUAGUAGAGCACCUCUUGAAAUGUGAUUUCCUUCGGGGAGUGUUAUAGUCUUGAGACGAUCUACUACGGGGACUGAGGACUGCGCGUUAUGCUAGGAUAUUGGCGUAAUGACCUUAAGCCGC